rnacentral:lncRNA from 1 species
CACAUACCGUGCAGACUUUCUGGAUGGCAGCAUUUCUGCAGCGCUGAUGGUACAUUUCCAUCCAGCCUAUUCAAACAGGCCCCGCUGAGGAGCACGAGAGCACAUUAAAUACCAGGUACAUUCAUUCCCCGGGAUCGAAACAACCGAAACUUGACAUUACAAGAUGACUCACUACCUAUAAAUAUUUGUUUUGCGCUGAAGAAUAGAGAAUAUGGCAACAAUAACCCUUUGCUUGGAGGACAGGUACGUAAGAGGGAACUUCACCCACUCCUUCCGAAGUGGUAAACAUGGUGGCUUUCAGAUUAUCCACGCUGUUCUAAAACCUGCACUGACAUCAGCCUGCUUCCCUUAAGUAGCGUGCUUCAGCUCCAUUCUGGACAGCACAGUCAGAGCACCAGGUGACAAUUCAAGCUCCCACUCCCUGCUGAUGAGACUUUUCAAAUCCAUUUUAAGUGAGGCUGAAUGGAAGGGGAAUGGUGUAAAGAGAGGACUGCCAAUCAGACAGGUUAAGUCCCAGAAUGGCUCUCAUCUGGUCUAACUCCUGAUAAGAGAUAAACUUGAUCUGAACUGAAAGCUCUGCAUGCCACCUGUAGUUGUCUUGAACUCCUACUUCCACUACAACGUGGAUAUCUGGUAGCAUCACCCAAUGAAUCAAAAUAAAGUAAGGAGCUCUACUCUCUCCUAAGAAGUUCUAAGACUUGAUGUUUAC